UGGUAAUCCUUGCGCCUGACACUCGAAUCUCGCCGUUCUCCCAUUUGGACAGAUUUGGUUUGUCGGCGUUUUUAUAAAUGACGGUGGUAUUAAUAUAUCUACAGUUACAUUCUGCAAUAAUUUAAACCAGAUGCAUGUCAUUGGUGAUAGAACUCUUUGACGAACACUGGUAGACUCCAGCAUUGGAAACGUUUACCUUUGUUAAUGACAAUACACUAAUGCCAGUGGUGGAAUUAAGGAGGAUGCGAGAUUUUGUAACAUUAUCUACAAAUAUACAAGUAUUGAAUCUUCUGAACUAAA